AAAAAUACUAUUUACACUGAAACAAGUUUGCAAUAAUAAAAUUAUGCAAAGUUGUUUCCGUGUAAAGUCGAACCUUGACAAUUAAAUAGGUCUUAAUCAAAAAUUUAAUUUCAAAAUGUCAGCGGAAAUAGAAAAUUGAAUUUAUUGAUUAGUCACUCAACAUUUUUAAGCAAGAAAUGUUGAGUAUGUAGGUAAAAAUGCAAUAAGUAAAAGUUUAAAUAAGUUAGCAAUAUUUAUUUAGUAAUUGCUAACUGCUAACAUAGCCUCGCGUUGACUGCGCAGAUCUGCGCAAGUCGAGGCGGGCAAAAAAUUAAGAGCGGGAAUACAUAAUGCAUAUGGUGAAUGCCUUGACUCAUACUAGCGAUGAAGGGCGUAGCAGUCUGCGAUAAGCUUCGGGGAGGUGACGAGCAACCUUUGAUCCGGAGAUUUCCGAAUGGGAUAACCCAGCCGCAUUCUUCACUGACGUUCAGAAUGAAUUUUUAAUUUCCAAUUUUUAAAUAAUUUUCUAAUGUCUAAAUUUUUAAACAUUAAAAAUUAAUAUUUAUUUUAAAAAUUAUAAAAUUAAAAAUUUAAAAAUUCGGAGCGUGAGCGAAGAAUGUGGUGAUGGCGUGCUUUUUGUAGAACGAUCCAGCGAGUUAGUUCUAUGUCGUUGACUAAGCAACUUUAUGUUGCGGAGUCGUAGUGAAAGCGAGCCUUAACGGGCGAACUUAAUGGCAUGGACUAGACCCGAAGCCAGGCGAGCUAUUUAUGAGCAGGGUGAAUCCCGAGUAAAAUCGGGAGGAGGCCCGAACCCACCAGCCGUGCAACACUGGGGGAUGACUUGUGAAUAGAGGAGAAAUUCCAAUCGAGCUUGGCGAUAGCUGGUUCUUCCCGAAAUAGCUUGAGGGCUAGCGUUUGAAAACUAUGCUUUGGAGGUAGAGCUACUGAAUGAGAAUUCGUGGUUCGCCAUAGGAUUCUCAACCAAACUCCGAAUUCCGAAGUAAUUAUUCAAGCAGUCAGUACUCCGGGGCUAAGCUCGGAGCACAAAAGGGAAAAAGCCCAUGAUCGCAAUCUAAGGUCCCAAAAUCUAUGUUAAGUGGUAAAGGAAGUAAAGUUUCUUAUACAUCUAGGAGGUUGGCUCAGAAGCAGCCAUCCUUUAAAGAGUGCGUAACAGCUCACUAGUCUAGAAACUUUGCGCCGAAAAUUCAACGGGGCUCAAACAUAGUACCGAAGAUGCGACUUGCUCAUAUCUCAUUGUAUUCGAUAUGAGCACGCGGAUAAAACGCGGAUUAUUGAUAUGCGGAUAUAACGCUGAUAAAAAAUCAGCGUAAAAUCAGCGUUAUGAUCAGCGAUAAAUCAGCGUGCGAACAUCGAGCAUAGCGAGAUGUGAGCAGGGGUAGGGAAGCGUUCCAUAUGCGCUGAAGGUCGAGCGUGAGCAAGGCUGGAGUGUAUGGAAGUGAGAAUGCUGGAACGAGUAACCGCAAUUGGGGUGAGAACCCCCGACACCGAAAGUCUAAGGUUUCCUGGGCAAUGUCAAUCAUCUCAGGGUUAGUCGGGCCUAAGGCGAGGCCGAAAGGCGUAGUCGAUGGACACACGGUUAAUAUUCCGUGACUUUAAUAUUAUUCGAUGGAGUGACAUAUUCUAGUAGUUUUUGCCGAUUAUUGGAUUUUGGUAGAAAUAUUGAAAUGGCUAAACAGGCAAAUCCGUUUAGCAACACAUUAAGAUAUUUCUGGAAUCUCGGUGCAAAUCGGGAGAACAAAAAUGAGCAGGGUAUCGAGAAAAACUUCUAAGAUUAAUAAUAUUAGAACCGUACUAAAACCGACACAGGUAGACUGGGCGAGUAGCCUAAGGUGAACGAGUGAACCUUCGUUAAGGAACUCUGCAAAAUAGCGUCCGUAACUUAGGGAUAUGGACUCCCCGAUGUAAAUCGGGGCGCAGCUAAAGAUAUCAAGCGACUGUUUACCAAAAACACAGGUCUCUGCAAACCCGUAAAGGGAAGUAUAGGGGCUGAUGCCUGACCAGUGCUGGAACGUUAACGGGAGUGGUGCAAGCCAAUCCCCGAAGCGCCAGUGAACGUCAGCGAUAACUAUAAUCGUUCUAAGGUAGCGAAAUUCCUUGACAGGUAAUGACGACAGAUAUUUGCCUGUAUGUUGUAGCGAUAUGACAUUAGAAAUCUGACUAAUAACGGUGAAACCUAAAUCCUAAAGAACUAUGGAUAUGGUAAUACCGUGGGAACUUGCUAUAAUUAUUUUAUAGUAAGACCUGUAACGACUGAAGCGAAAGCUGAGACUCGCGCAAUAUUUAUUCGCGGGUAAUACGUCAGCUCUUGUCGAACAAAAAAACAUAUGGAUUUUGCUUCUUAUGUUUCCGGCUUUAUUGAUGGUGAAGGAUGCUUUUCAGUAUCAUUCAACUUUCGAGAAAAGCUCAAAACUAAAAUUGAGGUUCGUCCGAGUUUUUCAAUCGGACAAAAUAUGCGCAGUUUGGAAAUUUUGAAAAUGAUUCAAAAAUUUUUCGAUUGUGGCAGUAUUCGUUUUUGCAAAAACGAUCAAUGCUAUAAAUAUGAAACAAGAAACAUC
rnacentral:rRNA from 1 species